rnacentral:rRNA from 1 species
UACGUAGGUCCCGAGCGUUAUCCGGAUUUAUUGGGCGUAAAGCGAGCGCAGGUGGUUUAUUAAGUCUGGUGUAAAAGGCAGUGGCUCAACCAUUGUAUGCAUUGGAAACUGGUAGACUUGAGUGCAGGAGAGGAGAGUGGAAUUCCAUGUGUAGCGGUGAAAUGCGUAGAUAUAUGGAGGAACACCGGUGGCGAAAGCGGCUCUCUGGCCUAUAACUGACACUUAGGCUCGAAAGCGUGGGGAGCAAACAGG